rnacentral:rRNA from 1 species
GAUGAACGCUAGCGGCAGGCCUAAUACAUGCAAGUCGAACGGUAAGGCCCUUUCGGGGGUACACGAGUGGCGGACGGGUGCGUAACGCGUAUGCAACAUGCCUUCCAGCGGGGGAUAUACCAGGGGAAACUUGGCGCAAUACCCCAUAGAAUUACGGGACCGCAUGGUCUUGUGAUUAAAACUCCGGUGCUGGGAGAUUGGCAUGGCGUGACAUUAGCUAGUUGGCGGGGUAACGCCCACCAAGGCGACGAUGUCUAGCUGGUCUGAGAGGAUGAUCAGCCACACUGGGACUGAGACACGGCCCAGACUCCUACGGGAGCAGCAGUA